AUUGAACGCUGGCGGAAUGCUCUACACAUGCAAGUCGAACGGCAGCACGGACUUCGGUCUGGUGGCGAGAGGCGAACGGGUGAGUAAUGUAUCGGAACGUGCCCAGUCGUGGGGGAUAACGUAGUGAAAAUUACGCUAAUACCGCAUACGAUCUAUGGAUGAAAGCGGGGGAUCGCAAGACCUCGCGCGAUUGGAGCGGCCGAUAUCAGAGUAGGUAGUUGGUGGGGUAAAGGCCCACCAAGCCAACGAUCUGUAGCUGGUCUGAGAGGACGACCAGCCACACUGGAACUGAGACACGGUCCAGACUCCUACGGGAGGCAGCAGUGGGGAAUUUUGGACAAUGGGCGAAAGCCUGAUCCAGCCAUUCCGCGUGCAGGAUGAAGGCCCUCGGGUUGUAAACUGCUUUUGUACAGAACGAAAAGGUUUCUACUAAUACUAGGAGCUCAUGACGGUACUGUAAGAAUAAGCACCGGCUAACUACGUGCCAGCCGCCGCCGUAA
rnacentral:rRNA from 1 species